GGCGUCAGGGGAGGGGUGCGGCCAAGUUGGAAUUUUGGCGGGUCUGGCUGCCGGGCGGGAGCCGGCGCGGAGGAGGCAUAGCCGAGAUUCGACAUUAUUGCCAUUUCCUGAGCACCUGAUUCUCCUUCGAAGUUCUCCAUCACAACUGUUCUCUUCGCGGCAUGGAUGGGGAGGAAGAUGACUUAUCUCUGCUCACUGCACUGCUGGAGGAGAAUGAGUCUGCCUUGGAUUGUAAUCCAGAAGAAAGUCACCCCUUGACCCAGGAGGAUCGUGAACCCGACGCCUAUGAUGAGCUCUUUGAUGCGGAUGACGAUGGUGAAUCUUACUCAGAGGAGGCCACUGAUGGAGAACUGGGAGAGACUGCAGUGCAAAAGGAAAAUUUGGCCACUCUCUUUGGAGAUAUGGGGGACUUAACAGAUGAGGAAGAAAUUCCCACACGGCAGUCACCUGAAAAUAGAGUCCCCCCCGCUCCUGCUCCCAGUCAGGGGAAAACUAAUCAAGAGUUGCAAGAUGAACUAAGGAAGUUGCAAGAGCAGAUGAAAUGUUUGCAAAAACAACUAGAAAUAGCAACAAUUAAACAGCCUACAAGUUCACCCCUUCCACCUAAAUCUGUAGAUAAGUCAUCACGUCCACCUCUUAAAGAGAAGAAAGUUCAGAGAAUUCUGGAGUCGACGUGCUUUUCUGCAGAGCUUGAUGUCCCUGCUCUCCCAAAAACCAAACGAGUGGCUCGGACACCAAAGGUUUCACCUGCAGAGCCCAAAAGCUCCUCUUCAAGAAUGACAAGUACAUCCCCUCAACCACUCCGAACUACUCCUGGAAACAAACCUAGUGGGAUGGCCAGAGGUCAAAAUGCAGGGACCCCUAGGAGUUCUGGGGAACCGGCUCAGACAGUAGUCUCCGUGGAAGCCUUCUCAGGCCUGAGGCUCAGGCGGCCUCGAGUGUCCUCCACAGAGAUGAACAAGAAAAUGAUUGGCCGAAAACUGAUCAGACUGUCUCAGCUCAAGGAAAAGAUGGCAAGUGAGAAGCUAGAAGAAAUAGACUGGGUGACUUUUGGGGUUAUAUUGAAGAAAAUCACUCCGCAGAGUUGUAAUAGUGGGAAAACAUUUAGUAUCUGGCGACUGAAUGAUCUCCGUGACCUGACACGGUAUGUGUCGUUGUUCUUAUUUGGAGAAGUUCACAAAGAACUCUGGAAGACUGAACAGGGUACUGUCAUAGGUCUGCUCAAUGCUAACCCCAUGAAGCCCAAGGAUGGUUCAGAUGAGGUGUGCUUGUCUGUUGAUCAUCCUCAGAAGAUCUUAAUCAUGGGUGAGGCUCUUGACCUAGGAACCUGUAAAGCAAAGAAGAAGAAUGGACAGCCGUGUACACAGACUGUUAAUUUGAAUGACUGUGAGUACUGUCAAUAUCACAUCCAGGCUCAAUAUAAGAAGCUCAGUGCCAGGCGAGCUGACCUGCAGUCCACCUUCUCCGGAGGACGAAUUCCAAAGAAGUUUGCCCGCAAAGGCAGCAGCCUAAAAGAACGGCUAUGUCAGGAUGGUUUUUACUAUGGAGGGGUUUCUUCUGCAUCGUACGCGGCCUCAGUUGCGGCUGCUGUUGCUCCUAAAAAGAAGAUUCAAACCACUCUGACUAAUCUGGUGGUUAAGGGGACAGACUUGAUCAUUCAGGAAACCCAACAAAAACUUGGAAUACCCCAGAAGAGCUUGUCUUGCUCUGAGGAAUUCAAGGAACUGAUGGACUUGCCUACAUUUGGAGCCAGAAACUUAAAACAACAUUUAGCCAAAGCCAGGUUACCAGGGAUAACAGGAAGCCCGAAACCUGCUUUCCAGUCUGUCUCAGCAUCAGCCCUCUUAAAGCAGCAGAAGCAGCACAUGCUGGAGAUGAGGAAGAAGAGGUCAGAAGAAAUACAAAAACGAUUUCUCCAAAGCUCAAGUGGGAUCAAGAGCCCAGCCGUGACACCCUCUUCUCAACGGGUCCCUUCCCAGUCUCUGCAAACGGCGGCUGUGUUGCCCAGCCUGGAAGGAGCACCAGCCACACAGAUGCCCAAGCUGGGGCGAGGCAUCUCAGAAGGAGAUGACGUUCUCUUUUUUGAUGAGUCACCACCACCAAGACCAAAACUGAGUGCUUUAGCAGAAGCCAAAAAGUUAGCUGCUAUAACCAAAUUAAGAGCAAAAGGCCAGAUUCUGACAAAAACAGACCCAAACAGCAUUAAAAAGAAGCAAAAGGACCCCCAGGAUGUCCUAGGAGUGAAGGACCGUGUAGAAAAGAACCACAACUUUUCUCCUGAAGCUGAAGAUGAGUUGGAGCCUGCCAGGAAAAAAAGGAGAGAACAACUUACCUACCUGGAAUCUGAAGAAUUUCAGAAAAUUCUAAAAGCAAAAUCAAAGCACACAGGAAUACUCAAAGAGGCUGAGGCUGAGCUGCAAGAACGCUAUUUUGAGCCAUUGGUGAAAAAAGAACAAAUGGAAGAAAAGAUGAGAAGCAUCAGAGAAGUGAAAUGUCGAGUAGUGACAUGCAAGACGUGCGCCUAUACCCACUUGAAGCCUUUGGAGACCUGCAUCAGUGAGCAGCACGACUACCACUGGCAUGACGGCAUAAAGAGGUUUUUCAAGUGUCCCUGUGGAAACAGAAGCAUCUCCCUCGAUAGGCUCCCCAAAAAGCACUGCAGUAACUGUGGCCUCUUCAAGUGGGAACGAGAUGGAAUGCUGAAGGAAAAAAUGGGCCCAAAGAUAGGAGGAGAAACCCUAUUACCAAGAGGAGAAGAACAUGCCAAAUUUCUGAAUAGCCUUAAAUAGCCCUGACUUCAAACAGAUCAUGCCAAUUUCUUCAUACACCAUUCCAUUUAGACAAAUUGAAGGCGUCUCUGGCAAAGGUGCUAACAGCAUGGCUUUUGUGUAGGGGACCACUUGCAGCUGAGCAGCUUUAGCCAAGCCAGGUGUCAUGCAACCAAUCUCAGAUGGGCUGACCCAAGCUUCUUGCUCUGAAGGUGGAAGCAGACUUUGGCUCCCACACAGACCUUAGAGAAGCGGUCUUCCCAAGUUGCCUUUCUGGAGGAGCAGCAGAUUGGACUCUGGACUCAGCGAUGGCUACGGACAAUUUAAGUCCUGGGUCAGAAUGCCAUGUUAACACCAUGCAUCCUGUGCACUGUGUACAUCCCUUCUCAGGUUCUGCAUUGUAUUCUCAGCGUCUCCUCUCAUCCCAGAGGAACGUCUCGCAUCUUUAUCCAGAAGAUUAGAGAUGUCAGAUGCCUGUUUCCUGGUUCCAGAUUGCAUUCUAUCAAUGUUACCUGCCUGUUACCCAGCCUGAGACAUAACUGGGCUCUGUUCUCCUGCCCCUGCACAGGAGUUGACUGGGUGACAGCAGGUGAACUCAGGUGUGUCCUAUGUCUUCACUAGGCUGUCCUGGCCCCACCCCACCCUCCACCCACCCACGACUGACACACAGAGCUUCUGUUUGAGGAGAGGACCCCAUGGCUUCAUCACACUCCUCAUGGUUUUGAAUCAGCUUAGGAGAAUGGAAACUAUUCGCCUCUCCCAAAUUCACACCUGUUCCCCACUGGAAGUCUGCCAGGAGGCCGCUUCUCUGAUCUCCAUCACAAACUGCCCGGCCUUCGUCACAGCCCUUCCAGUAUUCGAUGUUUGCUAACUUCUAAAUCUCAAGUUGUGAGAGGCCUGGAGAUUUUCCCAGUGUGGUUCAUUCUUAUCCAGUUGGAGGGGGUGGGAAAGGAAUUUCAUCUCCAAGCCUUUUUCAUUAUUUGAAAACAGUCUUGUUAUUUUUGACGGAGCUUGUAAAGCUUUCUGAGUGUGCCGAGGGACACAAAGAGUUUAUUCAGACACGUGCACAAGUAAUGAAUCAAGCCACAGCCUCAGAGACAGAGCUCAGAGUCCUUGGAAGAAUCUAGUCCAAGGGCAGAAAACUCAGAUGCCUUCCAGGGUCAGCAGGUCAUGGAAAUGAGGGUCCUUGCCAGGCAGGGGACACCAGGGCCUACUUCAGACUGAGAAGGAGACACGCUUCCAAGCUCAAAAGUCUUCCAAAUGCAUUGGAAAUGAAAAAUUACAAAAACAAAAAACCCCACAACCACUGCUGGCUGAAUACCACAAUUUCAGGAGCUUAUAAAUAAAGAAACUUGGGGCCAAGGGGAGGAAGUGGCCAAGGCCACUUAGCACAGCUGUCACCAAGCCCACAGUCCGAGCUCCCGGUCCUGUGUGCCCUCUCUCUACUAUAGUGCCAUUUGUUGCUCUUGCAUGGGGGGCACUGCCCGAUACCCCCAGAAAGCACACACCCAGAUACUGCAUUCCCUCUUGACUAGAACAUAAUUCUUAACAUUUAAACUUUCUGGAAUUGGGAAGAGUCUCAUCCCUAUCAGGUGCAUUCAAUGUU